rnacentral:lncRNA from 1 species
CUUAAAAAUAAAGUAAAGGAUUAGGAAGAAGUUUAUGAAACUCAGUCACAUAUUCGAUAGCAUAGCUGUAGGCGCGAACCAGACAUAAUAAGGCAUUUGUAUGUUCAUCGUGAUUUUGAUAUUCGAGGUCCCGUCUUUUUAGCCAUGCUUUUAAAUCAAGGAUCGAGAAUAGCAAGAAGAAGGAAGCUUUAAACGGACAACGUAAAAACAUUACGCUCGAAUCAGCGAGACAUCGUAAUUCAAUUAAAAAUGAAACAGAAAACAUUCGAUAACGGAAUGCGUUAACAGAUUAAAAGAAAUACGAUGAAAGCACGUGUACAGUAUACAGUAUACUACGUAUACGUCACGGGAGUAGAAAGAGAUGGAAAAAGAAAGAAAAAGAGAGACAGAGAGAUACAAAUCCAGUCGAUGGAAAUGUUACUGUAAAUCUGCGUCAAGAUCAGAGCUGACGUCAUCCUCUGACGCACCAUCAUCUGACAUACUCUGCAUUGUUCAGCGGACGUUCGAAAAUGUAUAUUUUCUAUUGCCAAUACUGUUAUCGCUUUUCAAACGUCAAUAUUCGUUAGUUUCUAAUUAUCACAUCGCCAAUUACUCAGUUUACAGCCUACAAAUAAAAAAUCGAUUAUCGAGUCAAAGGAAAUGUUAAAGGUCAACGAAAAAUCUAAAGUCAGAUGAAACAUUUGUUUUACAAUU